rnacentral:rRNA from 1 species
AGCCGACCUGAGAGGGUGAUCGGCCACACUGGAACUGAGACACGGUCCAGACUCCUACGGGAGGCAGCAGCAGGGAAUCUUCCGCAAUGGACGAAAGUCUUACGGAGCAACGCCGCGUGAGUGAUGAAGGUCUUCGGAUCGUAAAGCCCCGUUGUUAGGGAAGAACAAAUGUGUAAGUAACUGUGCACUUCUUGACGGUACCUAACCAGAAAGCCACGGCAAACGACGUGCCAGCAGCCCCGGUAAGACCGAGGGUGCAAGCGUUUUCCGGAAUGAUUGGGUGCUAAGCGCGCGGAGGCGGUUUUUUAAGUCUGAUGUGAAAGCCCACGGCUCAACCGUGGAGGGUCAUUGGAAACUGGAGAACUUGAGUGCAGAAGAGGAAAGUGGAAUUCCAUGUGUAGCGGUGAAAUGCGCAGAGAUAU